CGAACCCUGAUCCAGCAAUGCCGCGUGAGUGAUGAAGGCCUUCGGGUUGUAAAGCUCUUUUGGCGGGGACGAUGAUGACGGUACCCGCAGAAUAAGCCCCGGCUAACUUCGUGCCAGCAGCCGCGGUAAUACGAAGGGGGCUAGCGUUGUUCGGAAUUACUGGGCGUAAAGCGCGUGUAGGCGGCCACGCAGGUCCGUUGUGAAAACUGGAGGCUCAACUUCCAGGCGUCGACGGAAACCGUGUGGCUAGAGUCCGGAAGAGGAGAGUGGAAUUCCUGGUGUAGCGGUGAAAUGCGCAGAUAUCAGGAAGAACACCAAUGGCGAAGGCAGCUCUCUGGGACGGUACUGACGCUGAGACGCGAAAGCGUGGGGAGCGAACAGGAUUAGAUACCCUGGUAGUCCACGCCGUAAACGAUGGGUGCUAGGUGUGGGAGGUGUCGACUCCUUCCGUGCCGUAGCUAACGCAUUAAGCACCCCGCCUGGGGAGUACGGCCGCAAGGACUA
rnacentral:rRNA from 1 species